AACGAACGCUGGCGGCAGGCUUAACACAUGCAAGUCGAACGCAUCCUUCGGGGUGAGUGGCAGACGGGUGAGUAACGCGUGGGAACGUGCCCUUCAGUUCGGGAUAACCCAGGGAAACUUGGGCUAAUACCGGAUACGUGCGAGAGCAGAAAGAACUGAUCGCUGAAGGAUCGGCCCGCGUCGGAUUAGCUAGUUGGUGGGGUAAUGGCCCACCAAGGCGACGAUCAGUAGCUGGUCUGAGAGGAUGAUCAGCCACAUUGGGACUGAGACACGGCCCAAACUCCUACGGGAGGCAGCAGUGGGGAAUAUUGGACAAUGGGCGCAAGCCUGAUCCAGCCAUGCCGCGUGAGUGAUGAAGGCCUUAGGGUUGUAAAGCUCUUUCGUCCGGGACGAUAAUGACGGUACCGGAAGAAGAAGCCCCGGCUAACUUCGUGCCAGCCGCCGCCGUAA
rnacentral:rRNA from 1 species